rnacentral:lncRNA from 1 species
CAGCACCAUCUUUCUCUUUAUCCUUCUUUUUCUUUUCCUUUUUUGCCGUCUCUACAUCAGGGGUUGCAGCUUCAUCAGCUUCUUUCUUCUUUUUCUUCUUUUCUUUCUUUGUGACUUGAACCUCCACAGCUUCAUCUCCAGCUUUCUUCUCCUCGACUAUCUCUACCUUUGGUUUCUUUAAAGCACUGGGUGCAGGGGAUGCAUCUAAGUCAUCUAAUUUUCUCUUGUUACCCUCCUCCUCCUCAUCUUCCUUAUGUUUCUUCUUCUUUUUCUUCUCAACAUCACCAACUGCACCAUCAGCAGGCACCACAUCAGGAUCAGUUUUCACAUUAGCAGCAGCGAGACCAGCAACCAUAGCGUCCCCUCCUGUAGGCAAAACAACAUUCCUCAACCACUCAGCUGGAGUUUUCUCAUUUGGCUUUCCAUGUUUAUCCAACUUCCCCUCAGCAACCAACUUUUUCUUCAUCGAAGCCCUCGGCCCCAAGCCCCAUUUCCUAGGAUAAGUAUCCCUAUCCAUCACCACUCUCUUAAUCUUAGCAACAACACCAUGAUCACAAGUGGCCAUAACAGCAGUGGUCAUUUCCGCAAUCCCCAAUGCUAUGGCCUCCCCUUUAGUAGUCAUCAGCACAACCUCCUCACCAACCUCGAUAUCAUUCUCAAACCUCAAAAGCCCGGGAAUCAUCAACUUUGCACCGUAACAAAUAGCAUUCACUGCCGAAUCCUUAACCACCAACCUCUUAUAACUAGUCAAAACCACCUCCAAUGGCAUAAUUACCCUCCUCAAGUAAGUCUCAUCCCUAUAGUUAUCAUACAUCCAUUGUGCAUCCAUCACAUCGUGCAUCGUCACCAUAUUAUUCUUCUCACCCAAAAUCCCAGACCUCACUCUCCUCAACUCCUGCAUAUGUCCACCCACGCCCAGCAACAAUCCAAGAUGCACACAAAGCGUCCGAACAUACGUACCAGCCUCACACGAUAUCCAAAACACAACCAAAUGCCUAUCAGCAUCAUACUCAAGCAACUUACUUUCAUAAAUAGUUCUAAUCCUAAGUUGUCUUUUCACAGCAGAAAUCAAAGGUGGUCUUUGAAACACAGCCCCAGUUAAAGCCUCAAGUGCUCUAGCUACCUUAGCAACAUCAGGGACAUCAGCAUGUAAUCUAGCAACACAAACAUAUUCUUUACCAGCACCCUGUUGGGAUUUAACCAAACGGGUCGCUCUAUCAAUGCAAACGAUCAAAUUACCAGUAACUUUAGGAUCAAGAGUACCACUGUGACCCGUUUUC